AUUGAACGCUGGCGGCAUGCCUUACACAUGCAAGUCGAACGGCAGCGCGGGAGCAAUCCUGGCGGCGAGUGGCGAACGGGUGAGUAAUACAUCGGAACGUGCCCAAUCGUGGGGGAUAACGCAGCGAAAGCUGUGCUAAUACCGCAUACGAUCUACGGAUGAAAGCAGGGGAUCGCAAGACCUUGCGCGAAUGGAGCGGCCGAUGGCAGAUUAGGUAGUUGGUGAGGUAAAGGCUCACCAAGCCUUCGAUCUGUAGCUGGUCUGAGAGGACGACCAGCCACACUGGGACUGAGACACGGCCCAGACUCCUACGGGAGGCAGCAGU
rnacentral:rRNA from 1 species